rnacentral:lncRNA from 1 species
CCAUAUACACACAAUUAGGGCAUUUUUGCAAACUAGCCCUCAUAUUUUCACAUUUUGACAUUUUAGUCCCUAAUUCACAAAAUCACAAAAUACACAUAAUUUGCUUGUACACAAGCUUAGCUAAAUUUUCAUAGCUCUCAUAGAAGUCCAUACAUUUCAUUUAUUUCACUUUUUAGUCCCUCAAAAUAACAUUUUUACAAUUUAUCCCAAAUUACUCAAUUUCAUAAAAAAUCCAAAGACAAAAC